rnacentral:rRNA from 1 species
GCCGCAUGGCCGCGGGAUUUCCGUAGGUGANACCUGCGGAAGGAUCAUUUCGCUAACUACUGAUUCAAUUUCACAUGCGACUUUGUGCUCGACUUCACCUCACGUCAUUGCAGCAUGUUGGCAUUGUGAGACUGUUGUAAUUUUCACAGUAAAUGAUUGACACUUUCAACGGCGGAUGUCUCAGCUCGAGUUCCGAUGAAGAACGCAGCGAAGCGCGAUACGCAUGGCGAUGCGCGGAGAUCCGUGACUUGAAGUUUUUCGAAUGCACUGCGCCUUGUGCCCGUGCACAAGGCACGUCUGGUUCGGUGUCUUUUUAUGAUCUUUCGGCGUGCGCUAACUCCGAAAGCAGUUCGCUGUGCGUAUCACAGCUCCGGGUAUUGGCUGUGGUCUGCAAAAAUUUCAGAAUGGUCUUGCGUCUUUGAAUUACAGAAAUGUACUUGACGUUCUUUUCAAAACCGACGCACCUGGCAUUCAGUGCCCAUUGGUUAUCAGCUUCUGAGGCUCUUGUGUUCAUAUAUUUGGACCCGAACUUGGAUUGGGCUACCCGCUGAAUUUAAGCAUAUCAAU